CAGGCAGCUAAGCUGGAUACAGCAGGACAAAGGACUAAAGAAAAAGAAAUGUGACCAUUCUGGUUGUGCAAAUGAGGACUUAGAAUUAGUUGUUCAGCUGAAGUGCUUGGAUGUAGGCUGUCUCCUUUGACAUCGUUUGUAGCCCAGCUAGCCAAGAAGAACAGCUGCACAGGUCAAUGCAUUUUGAAGCAGAUGGGGCAGUAAUUCAUGAAAAAUAGUGUUUAGAAAAGGUAUGCAGGUUUAAUGAAGAAAAUUGCCCUGGCUACAAUGGGGAUUACCUUGAUUUUCGCCCUGUUACAUCAACAGUUAUCUUGGCAUAGCUCAGUGUGGCCAGUGGAUCUUGGAUACUCCCGAAAUCAUAACAUGUACGCGCUGUGUGGUGAGAGGAAGCAGAGGGAUAGCAAGAGCUGGACUCGCAGCAGAAAAGGUGUGUGCUUGAAUGUAACAGCCAAGCCAAAGUAAGCAGACCUGAAAAUACUUUCACCUGGCAGAGUCAGCUUGAACUUAUUUGGGAGUCAGCAGCUGUAUGGUUAAUAUUAAAUAAAGAUAUGAAGACCUGCUGGGGACGUAUGGAUGAAAUUCAAGAAUAGAACCAGAACAGGUUGCACUGUGACUGAUGUGUACAAAGAAGCAAGCUCUGCACUGAGAAGGCAAGAAAGCAGCAGGCCAAACACUAAAAGAAUCCUGCAGGUUUAAGAAGAACCAAUGUUUUGGCCCUCAGGCAUUCCCCUUUUCUGCUUAGGAGUGCCUACAGCCAAUGCUGACUUGGUUACAAAUGUGAAAGCACCAUUUGUAUGAAUACCACAGAUGCUCUUAUUUCUGAAGAAUGAGAAGUGAUUCUAUGGCCAAUUCUCAUGAUGCUGAUUUUUAAAACAGAUCAAACAUGGAAACAGCAGGGGAAAAAAUCAAAGAUGUCUUUCCUAUUUAAUACAGACUCUUGGAUGGAGUUACCAUCCAGAAUUAGAUUUCAGAAGUAUGAUCCCUUUUCUUUGCAGAAUGAAAUGCUAUAGACUUACUGUACCAGGGGAGAAAGCAAGCUCUCUCCUAGUGCAUGCUCUGUUACAUAAAGUGCUCAGACAAGCUGAUUAAUCUAUGGGAGUUGAUAAUGAUUUGACUCUGGAUAUUUUGUUCAAAUGUUUUUUUCAGUGAUUCAUGAAGCUCUUAUCGGAAUUCAAAAAGCACUUCACGAAUCAACUAGGAGCUUAAAAAAAAUUAGCAGUAAUGAGCUCAUUUCCAUAGAAAUAGGACUAAGCUCACUGGUGGGUCAAACUGUUUUCUGCACUUCCACUUUCCAGUAUUUUCCUCAAUUCUUCUCCAUUUAUUUCAUGCAUCAUUAUCUUCUGUUUUUUGUAUAUCCCAACCAUACCAUUUGGCUUUUUGUUCUCUAACCAGCAACUGUCACUUCGAAGUAUUUCAAAAUGGUGGUUUAGAAAUGGUCCUCCACAUUUCACUCAAGAAAUUUUAGAAUUUUUUGUCAUUUUGAAAGCCAUUAUUCAAGACAUUUUCCUCAACAAAUAACAAAUCAUAGUUUGAAGGAGUAUUAAGCAAAAACUUACAAUGCCCAAGCCUCUCAAUUUCUGCUGGAUUAGCAAAGUGUUUUAAUGAUAUUGCAUUUGUAUUCUUUCAGUUUUCUUUCAUGAAACAUCAAAGAAGCAACACAGAAUGCAUCUUUCAUAUUCCAGACAUACCACAAUACUUCAGUGUUUUCCAUUCCUUCAGAUUCACUGCUAACCAAGAUGAAAGCUGAGGUCUUGUGAGCAAAACCUAAGCCAUCUGAAAAGAAAUGGUAUCCCUUUGAGGUUCUCAGUGUGUUGGAAAGAGGGAAUUGCUUACAGGUUUGCUGUAUUGCACCACACAGAUUUUAUAUAUAAGCACCUGCAUGUAUACCACAGCUAAGACUUGUUUUGGCAGGUUCCAGAGAAGGAACAUUGUGGUCAUGUUUGACAGGCUGGUGUAGAAGGUCACACAAUGGUGCUGGAGAUGUUUCAUGGAUUGUCUUCCAGGAGAUGAAGAAGGAACAAGAAAGAAAAUUCUUAUGGCUUGAAAUCAUCAUCUGCAUGAAAGAAAAACCCAACAAAAAACUGAAAAGAUGUGGUGAGCCCCCACCAGGGCUAUAGGAGCAGCUGCCUGUGUCAAAGCUUGUGAAAAUGUGCUGCAUUCACCGUUGUCCCUACUGCCAGAUUACAUUGAUAGAAAUGGCUCAGGGAUGCUCUUCUCUGAAAAUGCAGACUUUUGGACUGAGAGGGAUUCUCCACUGGCUACUAGCAAUGUGCUGUCUGUCUUACGUACAUGUACAGUUCAGAAUACACUACCUGAGCGGCCCACAGUCUUGUGAGAAGAACCAUGGCUCUGGAGCAGUUACAAAGCAGUUUCUUCAGACUGCCUCUGUUUUGUGUCCUGGCCUGUGGGCUGCCCUGACUCCCCCUGUGCCAGCAGUGGGCCGGGCCUCGUUACCUCAGGGCCUGCUGGUGGGUGUGUGGGGUUGCUGCUGGUGUGGGCGCUGCUGCUGGCAACUUCAGUUUACCCGAAGGAGGACAGACCCUGUCACGCUGCUGCCACUCGUGCUGCUUUCACUGUGCUAACCCCUUCUGUCUUCAUGUCAUUGUGUGUUUCCAGACCUUCCUUACCAAGUUCUGGUGCAUAUUGAACUAGUUUGGCCGGGAACAGAAGAAGAAAGCCCAGGCUGAUGAGCGCAGGACUUGGAACCAGCGGAUCUGUAUGGAUUGCUUACGUGCCCUGAAAUUCUUCUCUGUGGGACAAGGCUUUGAAGAUGGAAUGCAAUAUUAUUGGAAAUCUUUAGUGACCAUGACUAAUGAGGCCACUACAUGAGUAAGGUAAGUCAUAUUUUUCAGACUUGAGCUUGGUUCUCUGCGUGCUUACAGGCAGUCUUUUGAUAAACAGUCCAGCUUCCUGAGUCUUUCUCCUACAACAAAACUUUUAUCAGGAGUUGUUUACCAAGAGGAGUCGCCAACAAAAUGGUGUGUGUACACCAUGUGUGUUUUUCAUGUAACUGGAAGACUUACAGUUCUGCCUCAAGGUUUUGUUUGGUGGAAUGAAGAUGCUCUGGUAGAUAUCACCAUUAGGAUGGCAGAUUUCUCUACUGCUGCUGAGCUGGUGCCCCAAGCUAGACCAGGAAAUGUUCAUGCCAAGUGCUGCUGUGUGUGAGUGCUCUCUGUCCUUAGGGGUCUACUGCAGAAACGAAGACGACUCGAGGUGAGAGACUGGAAAAUACUGUUUCCAUUGAAAAGGUAGGGUAGCAUCUUGCCUGAGGACAUGCCUAAGGGUCUGUGAGAGAGACAAGAACUAAACUGAAAUCUCCAGGGUCCCCAUCCAGAGCUUUAAUCACAAACUCAUUCUUCCCUUGGAAGAGAGUUCUUGGUUGACACGCACAAAAAAGUUUUCUUUUUUCCUCCGGUGAUGCCUUACUUGUUUGCUGAAUUAACUGAGAAACUUUUGUGGCAGCAGAUAUCCAUAUUUUAGAACAAAAAUGGGUAUUGAGAAGCUUUCCCACUUCUUUCCAGGCUCUGUUAUAAUACUUCGCCGGAAUCCAUUCAUAUCCUCUACAACUGAGGAUUUUUCUUUCUUUUGGACUGCAGUCUUUUUCAGGCUUCUGACUUUGUUUUUUCUUAAUGCACAUGCCAGUGCUGGCACAAAGAAGACAGGAAAAACACAAGAAUGCAAUAAUUCAGAAAUUUAUGAAAUCUCCAGGGUACAGUGUACAUGACAGUAUCUUAAGGUUUUGCCUGGGUCAUGCAGUUGAAGUCUGCCAGCUGUCCUACUGCUAUAACUCUUCUAAGAUGCUAUAGUGUGUUUAUUUCUUUAAUGUUUCAGAGAAAACAUUUUAUUCAGUAAGCUUGCUGUGGAAAUGCAGUUCGCUCCUGUAUUUAAAAUGAAAUGGGGGGAGGGAAGAGUGGAGAGGAAUGGGUAAAUUAUGUUUAAGUGCUCUUUUCAUAAUCUGCAUGUAAGCCAGGCUUUCAGCUGCCUUAGCUUCAUUGAUUUAGUGUGAUGCAUGCUUCUAGGUAUCAGAUUAAGCUGAGGAUACAAAACAAUAUUUGUCAUGCAUGCUUGUCCAGGACUGAAAAUGUUACACCUCAUUUAAAAAUAACUAAUUUAUUGGGAAGGUACUGAUUAAAACCCAAGUUGGGUCAACGGAGAUGAGAGCAUGUGUGUUGGAUGGUGCAGAAAGCUUGUGAGAGCAGACUUGUAGAAGCUUAAUGAUAUAAAAGACUGUAGUGGCUGCAGUAAAGGAAAAAUGUCGUAUCUUCCCCAGCAGAAAGCAGUCAGAGUGCUGGGCAAACACUUUGCCCUGGGGAGGUAAGGCCCUGAUCUAACAAACACUUGAAAAUAUAACUGCGUCCUAUUGUCUUCAGUGGGAUUCUGCACAUGUUCAAUGCUGAUAAAGUUUUAGCCUGGCAUUUAAUUGAAGCAGAUUUGUCCAAGGCAAAACACUAGUAGCUUUUUAACUCACGCUCAUUUACUUUCUUAACCUUACAUUCUUUCACUUCUUUCCUCCAGAAAAACUAUGCGAUAAGUCUUUUAUGCUUGCCCUACGAGCUGUACCUUUAAUCUCACGUCUUAAUCUCAGGACUAGUUUUUUGUUUUUUUUUUUUUCUGUUCAGAUGUUUAAACAUAACUUUAAAAUGCAGCUACUAAUAAAUUCUGAGCAAGUCGUACUGAUUAACCUUAUUCUUUUCUUAGAGUUGGCCUAUAAUUUUGAAUUACUUGUAGCAAGCAUUUUAAUUUCCUUUUUUUAAAGGGACUUGCCCUUGUUGCCUGGAGAUGAAGCGCAUAGUGAGGGUUCUCCAUUACCUGAAGGUCCCUGGCAGUUUGGGUCCAUGUGCUCCUAUGUGCAAAUCUUGGUGUUGUGCCAAGGUGCAUCAUGUUUGUCACCGGGGAAGCACGAGGUAGUACUUGGUUUGUUAGCGCAGUUAGAGUUACAAGCACCACAGCUCCCUUUGUCCUUUGUAUCAGAAUGCAAGGACUUGUACUAGAGAUAAUCCAGCUGUAGUCCAAAACCCCUGACUGAUUUCAGUACAUACGGUGUGAGUUCAGUGUGCUUCCACUGCUGCAAAGCAGGAGAGGUGUGUGCCAGUACCUUGCUAUGUGCUGUGACUAUCACAGGCUUUAUGACUAGAUCCUGAAGAAUGUCUCCAAACACACAGUGCUCCUCAAUGGUAGGAUGCAGAGGCAGAGCACUUGUAUUGCUUUUUUUCCUGCAUCUCCCACCUUGGUAACCCUGCAGACACGUUGGGGUUCACCUUGCAUGCUGAAGGAAGGCGCGUUUUACUGUAGCCACCAAAAUCUAAAAAUAUGUUUUGGUCGUGUCAGCCUGAAGUUAGGUCAGUAGCAUUUAGAUUGCAUUUAAGCUUUGUGCAGUAUCUCAUUGGUAGCAAACUCACAUCAGUGAUAUGUAAAGCAUGACUAAUCAUAUAUUUUACCACUCUAACAGCUGAUCUUUUGUUUGCUUUAUUCUUACUUUUGUGGUAGCUGUUGAGGAGUUUUAAACACUCUGAAGAGUUUUAAACACCUGGUUUCUAGAGGAAUAUUUGUGUUCCUUAUGGGCCUCUUAUGAGAUAAGGAAGCAUUGGUCAGAAGCUCUAGGGAGGCAAUGCUGUAUGUACAUGAUAAUCAUUGAGCAAGGCUUUAUGCAUAUCUGAGAUGUUUACUUUGGGGAAUGGAAGCUACCUUGCAGAAUUAUAUAGAGAAUGAAUAAUGCGAGUCUUCACUGGGCUGGGUUAAAUUUCUAUCAACACUCAAAUGCUAUUUGAUUGAGAGGUCUGGUUUAGUGUAUAUAGGAUUUAGGGCUUUAGAGUUUGCAUACAAAUAUUUAACUGUAUGUUUGAAGGGGGGGGCUUAGUGGGGAAAAGAAUGUUACUGAAAAUGCUUCUUUUUUUUUUUUUUUUUUGGUAUUACGAAGAAGAGGCUUUUAUCUUUUUCUGGAGUGUAGUUUUUAUAUGGACCUAAAUGUCUUUAUGGCUUAAGUUAUUAAUUCCUUGACUCCUCUCUCAAAGUAAGCAGAAAUCAACAUCUGUUCUCAGGAACUUGUUCUUAGACUAAGAAAGAAACGGCAAUGCAUUUGAAUGAAGAUAUGUGGCCCAUCACCACUUUGAACAGAAG